rnacentral:rRNA from 1 species
UACCAGCUCUUCGAGUGGUGUGGAUGUUUAUUGGGCCUAAAGCAUCCGUAGCUGGCUGGGCAAGUCCCCUGUUAAAUCCACCGAUUUAAUCGUUGGAGUGCGGGGGAUACUGUUCGGCUAGGGGACGGGAGAGGCAGACGGUAUUUUCGGGGUAGGGGUGAAAUCCUAUAAUCCCGGGAAGACCACCAGUGGCGAAGGCUGUCGGCUAGAACGCGCCCGACGGUGAGGGAUGAAAGCUGGGGGAGCGAACCGGAUUAGAUACCCGGGUAGUCCCAGCUGUAAACGAUGCAGGCUAGGUGUUUGGGCGGCCACGUGCCGCUCUAGUGCCGCAGAGAAGUCGUUAAGCCUGCCGCCUGGGGAGUACGGCCGCAAGGCUGAAACUUAAAGGAAUUGGCGGGGGAGCACCACAAGGGGUGAAGCUUGCGGUUU